CUACUGGGGUAUCUAAUCCUGUUUGCUCCCCACACUUUCGCACCUCAGCGUCAGUAUCGAGCCAGUGAGCCGCCUUCGCCACUGGUGUUCCUCCGAAUAUCUACGAAUUUCACCUCUACACUCGGAAUUCCACUCACCUCUCUCGAACUCAAGACCAGCAGUAUCAAGGGCCGUUCCGGGGUUGAGCCCCGGGAUUUCACCCCUGACUGACUGAUCCGCCUACGCGCGCUUUACGCCCAGUAAUUCCGAACAACGCUAGUCCCCUCCGUAUUACCGCGGCUGCUGGCAC
rnacentral:rRNA from 1 species